CUGAGAGGAUGAGAAGAAUGGAACCAGAGAUGAGGACAGUCAAGAAACCGACGAGUUGGGUUGACUUCGGAGCAUGAGCUUGGAGUUUACGUAGAAAGGCGGAAACAUAUGUUGUGGCGUCGGGCCUUGAAGCUUGCUGAGGAGGAGCACGGUCAGCCAUGGGAAGAAGCUUGAUUGGCGAUAGAGAUGUAGAGAGAGAAAGAGAG
rnacentral:misc_RNA from 1 species